rnacentral:lncRNA from 1 species
UUGUGCGCUCGACAUGUCUAACGAAUGAAGGGCUCCUUGUUGUAGGGGACUAGACGUAAAUUAACCAGGGAUAGUGCAAGGAAAGCGUUGGAGGGCCUUGGAUGCAAAUUUACGUGAAAUUUCUAGGCUUUCCGUCCAACUGCAUUUAAAACCUUAUAUUGAACUUCUGCAGCGUUAGACGAUACGAAGGGAGGCAAAGCAAAGUCAGAGGAGCAGAUCACGAGACGCAGAGAGAGAAGACCCAGGAAAUUCUUUCUGUUGUGCACGAGGCUCAGUUAAGAAGGCCAAAAAGAAUAGAACUGAGGUUUAGAGUAGGACAAAAAGUAAUUCGUAGACGUUCUUCCUCUCGAACAGAGUAAACUGAAUAGGAGUCCAAAGAAUUUGCUAACUGCGACGGCGAUCAAGCGAACUACGCCUGAAAUUUACAAGCGAUUACGGUGAAAUCUACCCACCGUGGAGAUCAGCUUUGCAACCGACAUGGUAUUAUUUUGUCACAGAUACACUUGGUUUGUUCUCGCGAUUUGGACCAUCCAACUCGUGGUUUUCGUCCAAGGAGAAGGUAAG